rnacentral:rRNA from 1 species
UACGAAGGGGGCUAGCGUUGUUCGGAAUUACUGGGCGUAAAGCGCACGUAGGCGGACUCUUAAGUCAGGGGUGAAAUCCCGGGGCGCAACCUCGGAACUGCCUUUGAUACUGUGAGUCUCGAGACCGGAAGAGGUGAGUGGAAUUCCUAGUGUAGAGGUGAAAUUCGUAGAUAUUAGGAAGAACACCAGUGGCGAAGGCGGCUCACUGGUCCGGUUCUGACGCUGAGGUGCGAAAGCGUGGUGCGCAAACAGG